rnacentral:lncRNA from 1 species
GCAGCUGUGAAAUUUGCACCCAUAUCCCAAGGAUUGAUUAAGGUUGAUGUAAUGAUUGUGAAACAUUUAAUGCUGAUGAGAGGAGUCGGUUUUGGAAGGAAAUCUCAUUAAAACUUCCAUGAAAAAAAACACAGAGUUUCUAAGUGGCCAUGAAGGAGAAAAUAUAGACAUGCACCCUGAAGAACUUAGUGAAGACAAAUGUAUUGAUAUAAAUGAGAAAAGCGGUUGUGAUUUUAAAAAGGAGGGGGGAGGAAGGUUCAUCAUAGACAGAAGCCAGAUUCAGCUGGCUUCCCUAGGGAGGAAGCUCAAAAGCGCUUCAGUGUAUCUCACCAGGUAAGUUGCUGAUGAUCUAUUUCAGAAUCACCCGGAGUGCUUGUUAAUGAUACAGAUGCUUAUGCCCACAGUGCAUUCCCUGAGUCAGAAUUUUGGGGGAUUGUGGCCAGGAAUUUUCAUUUUUGUAAGCUCUCUGGGUAAUUCUAAUGCAUUCUCAUUUUUAAAGCAAUUGUUACCAUUUCAAUAGUAAAAUAGAGCUCAUAAAAUAACAAAGUAUUUGCAGAUGUUAAUAAGCACAUAUAUAUACAUAUAUAAAUAUAUGUAUAUACCAUAUAUACUUAUAUAUAAUAUAAUGUAUAUAUAUACCAUAUAUAUGUAUAUAUAUGGUAUAUAUAUACACACACUAUAUAUACAUUUAUAUAUAAGGUAUAUAUAUACACACCAUAGAUAUUAUCUACACAUAAUUAAUAUAAAUAUAAAUAUGGUAUAUAAAUAUAAAUAUAUUAUUUACACAUCA